rnacentral:tRNA from 1 species
GAUGUUGUGCCAGAUGAAAUGGGUUACUUUGAUGAGGUAAAAUAUAAGUUUUCUUUAACAUUU